UAGAUAAGGGACUUCUAGAGUGGCACUUGC
rnacentral:piRNA from 1 species